rnacentral:rRNA from 1 species
GACGAACGCUGGCGGCGUGCCUAAUACAUGCAAGUCGAACGCAGUGGGGACAGGUGAGUAACACGUGGGUAACCUCCCAUCAGAGGGGAUAACACUUGGAAACAGGUGCUAAACCGAUACUGAUGGAUGGACUCGCGGUGCAUUUGCUAGUUGGUGAGGUCACGGCUCACCAAGGCCACGAUGCAUAGCAGACCUGAGAGGGUGAGCGGCCACACGGGGACUGAGACACGGCCCAGACUCCUAAGGUAGGCAGCAGUAGGGAAUCUUCGGCAAUGGACGAAAGCCUGACCGAGCAACGCCGCGUGAGUGAAGAAGGUUUUCGGAUCGUAAAGCUCUGUUGGUAGAGAAGCGGUAUCUAACCAGAAAGCCACGGCUAACUACGUGCCAGCAGCCGCGGUAAUUC